rnacentral:rRNA from 1 species
GACGUAGGGCGCGAGCGUUGUCCGGAUUUAUUGGGCGUAAAGAGCUCGUAGGCGGCUUGUCGCGUCGACUGUGAAAACCCGUGGCUCAACCAUGUGGUCUGCAGUCGAUACGGGCAGGCUAGAAUUCGGUAGGGGAGACUGGAAUUCCUGGUGUAGCGGUGAAAUGCGCAGAUAUCAGGAGGAACACCGGUGGCGAAGGCGGCAUCCUGGACCGGUAUUGACGCUGAGGCGCGAAAGCUAGGGGAGCAAACGAG